GAUGAAGAACGUAGCGAAAUGCGAUAAGUAAUGUGAAUUGCAGAAUUCCGUGAAUCAUCGAAUCUUUGAACGCACAUUGCGCCCGCCAGUAUUCUGGCGGGCAUGCCUGUUCGAGCGUCAUUUCAACCAUCAAGCCCCCGGCUUGUGUUGGGGACCUGCGGCUGCCGCAGGCCCUGAAAAGCAGUGGCGGGCUCGCUGUCACACCGAGCGUAGUAGCAUACAUCUCGCUCUGGGCGUGCUGCGGGUUCCGGCCGUUAAACCACCUUCAUAACCCAAGGUUGACCUCGGAUCAGGUAGGAAGACCCGCUGAACUUAAGCAUAUCAAUAAGCGGAGGA
rnacentral:misc_RNA from 1 species